rnacentral:tRNA from 1 species
AGCAGUGUGGCUCAGUGGAAAGAGCCCGGGCUUUGGAGUCCGAUGUCAUGAGUUCAAAUCUUGGCUCUGCCA